rnacentral:rRNA from 1 species
GACGAACGCUGGCGGCGUGCUUAACACAUGCAAGUCGAACGGAAAGGCCCUGCUGUUGUGGGGUGCUCGAGUGGCGAACGGGUGAUUAACACGUGAGUAACCUGCCCUGGACUUUGGGAUAACUUCAGGAAACUGGGUCUAAUACCGGAUAUGAGCUCCUGCUGCAUGGUGGGGGUUGGAAAUUUUCGGCGGUUGGGGAUGGACUCGCGGCUUAUCAGCUUGUUGGUGGGGUAGUGGCUUACCAAGGCUUUGACGGGUAGCCGGCCUGAGAGGGUGACCGGCCACAUUGGGACUGAGAUACGGCCCAGACUCCUACGGGAGGAAGCAGUGGGGAAUAGUGCAAAAUGGGCGGAAGCCUGAUGAAGCAACGCCGCGUGCGGGAUGACGGCCUUCGGGUUGUAAAACGCUUUCGCCUGUGACGAAGCGUGAGUGACGGUAAUGGGUAAAGAAGCACCGGCUAACUACGUG